AGGACGAACGCUGGCGGCGUGCUUAACACAUGCAAGUGGAGCGACGAACCAGGGCUUGCCCUGGGGCAGAGCCGCGAACGGGUGAGUAACACGUGGGUUACCUGCCUCAAUGACCGGGACAACCCGAGGAAACUCGGGCUAAUACCGGAUGUGCCCGCAAGGGGAAAGGAAGCUUCGGCCUCCGCAUUGAGAUGGGCCCGCGGCCCAUUAGCUUGUUGGUGAGGUAACGGCUCACCAAGGCUUCGAUGGGUAGCUGGUCUGAGAGGACGAUCAGCCACACUGGGACUGAGACACGGCCCAGACUCCUACGGGAGGCAGCAGUGGGGAAUCUUGCGCAAUGCGCGAAAGCGUGACGCAGCAACGCCGCGUGGGGGAAGAAGGCUUUCGGGUUGUAAACCCUUUCAGUUGGGACGAAGCUUCGGCGGUUAAUAGCUGUCUGGAGUGACGGUACCUUCACAAGAAGCACCGGCUAACUACGUGCCAGCAGCCGCGGU
rnacentral:rRNA from 1 species